rnacentral:rRNA from 1 species
UACGUAGGGUGCAAACGUUGCUCGGAAUUAUUGGGCGUAAAGCGCACGUAGGCGGCUUUGCAAGUCCCAUGUGAAAGCCCACGGCUCAACCGUGGAAGUGCACGGGAAACUGCAGAGCUUGAGUACUUAAGAGGAUCGCGGAAUUCCCGGUGUAGAGGUGAAAUUCGUAGAUAUCGGGAGGAACACCAGUGGCGAAGGCGGCGAUCUGGGAAGAUACUGACGCUGAGGUGCGAAAGCGUGGGGAGCAAACAGG